rnacentral:rRNA from 1 species
GACGAACGCUGGCGGCGUGCUUAACACAUGCAAGUCGAACGGAAAGGCCCUGCUUUUGUGGGGUGCUCGAGUGGCGAACGGGUGAGUAACACGUGAGUAACCUGCCCUUGACUUUGGGAUAACUUCAGGAAACUGGGGCUAAUACCGGAUAGGAGCUCCUGCUGCAUGGUGGGGGUUGGAAAGUUUCGGCGGUUGGGGAUGGACUCGCGGCUUAUCAGCUUGUUGGUGGGGUAGUGGCUUACCAAGGCUUUGACGGGUAGCCGGCCUGAGAGGGUGACCGGCCACAUUGGGACUGAGAUACGGCCCAGACUCCUACGGGGGGGAGCAGUGGGGAAUAUUGCACAAUGGGCGGAAGCCUUAUGCAGCAACGCCGCGUGCGGGAUGACGGCCUUCGGGUUGUAAACCGCUUUCGCCUGUGACGAAGCGUGAGUGACGGUAAUGGGUAAAGAAGCACCGGCUAACUACGUG